ACACAGAGGGGUUAAAAGCGGAAUUCCCAGGAAGACUCGUCCUUCUUUUAGUUCCGGUCACUGCAUGGGACGGACCUCUCCCCUGCCCAGCCCGGGCUGGGUGGGGGAGGGGAGCCAUGCGGCCUGCAGAGCCAACCCUGUCUACACUGUGUCCUGAACAAUUCGUGCCCUCUGUGUGAGGAAGAUUUUUUGUCUCAGUUUGGGACUGCCCCAGAGGAUGAUUAAAAGACUGCUGAAAGGAAGCAGGUUUUGCGAAAUAUGUACACCUGAGAUGAGAGUGAGUCAAGCUCUAACUUGCUGCUGAGAGGAAGCAGAAUAACUGUGCUUGCUGGAUCGAGCCUGGCUUGAGACUGACUUGGAUCACUUGUGAACAGAUGUCAGCUGCUAAGUUGCUCCCAGCGUGUUGUAUGCUUAUCGAGAUAUUUCGCAAGCAGUCUAGUCCAGCUGCACCUUUGGUAACUCCUUCAGCUCCGCAGAGCCCACAGCCACUCGCUGCCGCUGUGCCUGCUGCGUCUGUGCCUCCUUGGCCACCGCCCCUGCCUCAGAUGGGCUCUCUUCUGCCACUGCUUCAGGCAGUGGCUGCACCUUUGCCUGCUCCAGCUGUGCCUCCUUUAGUCACUUCUAAUAUCACAAAGGAAGGGAAAGAUGAAAAGGAACUUGGAACUUUUAAACCCACUAUGGGGGUGCAAGAGUCAGAAAAGUAUUAUACUUCUGAAGAAGAAAUUGAUCUUCUAGACUCUGAUCCUACAGACCCACAUUUAAGAUAUGACCUGUUCCCUCCUGACCCUAGGUAGCCCCCAAAUCCCCCAAAGGACCCUAGAGAGUCCUUUCUAAAUCAAAGGAUUUUCUAAAAACAAUUUAAAAUUGACUGAUUGGACUGAAAUAUGGCACAAAUAAGCCACCCUAAGCUACAUGGGCCACCUAUGAUGUGUGAUAGAAUGGCAGGCCAAGCUCUAUUUCCACAGGUAAAAAACAUGCCUUGCAGCAGCUAUAAAGGUAUGUCAAUAGGCCGUGCAAGUACUGGGGAAGUGUAAUUACACCAAGAAGUUUGGUUCUUAAACAGUUGGUGACAGGGAGAAACAUCUUUAAUCAAGAAUGACUCUUUCCCUGUAUAGAUGAACUUAAUACAAAAAUCCAUUUUUACUGAGCCAAGGAGAUCUAUCUCCUGAGGCUCUUAAGAUGUUUGAGGAAGUUCUCCUGCCCAAUACUUCCAAGCACCUACAGGGCUGUAAUCCCAAUCGCACAUUCUGCCAGCACUUUUACCUCUUAAAACACAAAGAGUUUUCUCUCUUAUUGGCCAAGUGUCCACAGGCAGCCCUACUAAGCAAGUGGAAAAUGGAUUUUCCAGGGUUGUAGGGGCUAAGCAUAUCUAAGCCUAAUGCAUUAGCUAAAGUCACCCAACCAUUCAUUUUGGGUUGAUUAACAGUAAAAGUUAAGCUACUAAAAGCAGACAAAAUAAAAAGAUGUAAGCAUAA